AAUUGUUCGCAAUGGGCGCAAGCCUGACGACGCAACGCCGCGUGGAGGAUGAAGAUCUUCGGGUCGUAAACUCCUGUCGAGCGGGACGAAUGCCUUGCCGGUGAAUAUCCGGCGAGGGUGACGGUACCGCUAAAGGAAGCCCCGGCUAACUCCGUGCCAGCAGCCGCGGUAAUACAGAGACUGCAAGCGUUAUUCGGAUUCACUGGGCGUAAAGGGUGCGCAGGCGGUUGGGUGUGUCAGAUGUGAAAUCCCGAGGCUCAACCUCGGAACUGCGUCUGAAACUACUCGACUAGAGUACUGGAGAGGGUAACGGAAUUCACGGUGUAGCAGUGAAAUGCGUAGAUAUCGUGAGGAACACCAGAGGCGAAGGCGGUUACCUGGACAGUUACUGACGCUCAGGCACGAAAGCAUGGGGAGCAAAA
rnacentral:rRNA from 1 species